GGGACAAUAAUUGCUGCACACCCCUAAUAAAUGUUAAGUUUUUCUAUUUCAGCCUUUUUCGUCUAGACUACAACCACUACUGAAUUACCGGCCUUUAAAUAGUUUGCUGUGCUGUGAGAAUUUAUCGUCUUUGAUCUUAAUUUUUUCUACAAUUAUAACAUCAAUUGUAAAAAAAAAAAUCUGUCUUUUGUAGAUGCAUCACUCGAUUUUUAGGGAUGAUUCAAAGCCAGAAGUCCAACGCUGCACAACUUGCUGCACACUUUUCCACUGCCCCCUAUGCCCAACUUUUAAACCAACCGUAAACACGAAGCUUCAGUGCCACCUGGAAUCCCACAUAAAACAUUCCAUUACAUUUAAAGGGGCCACUUGACAACAUUGUGGCUGGAGUUUCCUGGCUGCGUCAGAAUGCAGGUUUGCUCAGGGGGAAGGUGGUCGAGCCCGCAUUUCCGAAUAUGGACGCAAAAGAACAGCAGGAGCUCCUGGAAAGGAUACGUUCUUCAACUGAUGAAGAAGAAAAGUAUCCCUUGCUCUUCACAUUUGAUUUUCAGGAAGACAUGGAGGUCUUCCUUAACAUGGCAGCUGAGGAGGAUCUUCGGGUCAACGCCAUGUUUCUGGGUCGCUGGGUGGACAGCCAGUGACAUUGCUGUGUGUGUGUGUGUGUGUGUGUGUGUGUGUGUGUGUGUGUGUGUGUGUGUGUGUGUGUGUGUGUGUGUGUGUGUGUGUGUGUGUGUGUGUGUGUGUGUGUGUGUGUUGAGGUUCUGAGUUCAGUUAUCUGUUGAGUGUUCUUAAUAAAGUGUUAUAACGUUUACAAUGUA